rnacentral:rRNA from 1 species
CUUACACAUGCAGUCGUCGAGANAGUCGCUUCGGUGGAUAGUAGAGCGGCGCCGGGUGAGUACGCGUGGGCACCUACCUGGUAGACCGGGAUAACAGAUGGAAACGUCUGCUAAUACCGGAUGUGCUUCAUGUUUGGCUUCAUGGGGGAAAGGUGGCCUCUGCUUAGCAGCUACCACUACCNGGAUGGCCCGCGUCCCAUUAGCUUGUUGGUGAGGUAACGGCUCACCAAGGCGACGAUGGGUAGCUGGUCUGAGAGGAUGAUCAGCCACACUGGGACUGGAACACGGGCCAGACUCCUACGGGAGGCAGCAGUGGGGAAUAUUGCGCAAUGGGGGAAACCCCUGACGCAGCGACGCCGCGUGCGGGAAGAAGGCUUUCGGGUCGUAAACCGCUGUCAGGAGGGAAGAAACCCUUGGACUCGAACAGGGUCCUUGGCUGACGGUACCUCCAGAGGAAGCACCGGAUAACUCCGUGCCAGCAGCCGCGGUAAUACGGAGGGUGCGAGCGUUAAUCGGAAUCACUGGGCGUAAAGCGUACGUAGGCGGCCAUGCAAGUCAGGGGUGAAAGCCCUCGGCUCAACCGAGG